GGCGAGUGAGCGGCAAAAGCUCAAAUUUGAAAUCUGGUACCUUUGGUGCCCGAGUUGUAAUUUGGAGAGUACCACUUUGGGACUGUACUUUGCCUAUGUUCCUUGGAACAGGACGUCAUGGAGGGUGAGAAUCCCGUGUGGCGAGGGUGUCAGUUCUUUGUAAAGGGUGCUCGAAGAGUCGAGUUGUUUGGGAAUGCAGCUCUAAGUGGGUGGUAAAUUCCAUCUAAAGCUAAAUACAGGCGAGAGACCGAUAGCGAACAAGUACAGUGAUGGAAAGAUGAAAAGAACUUUGAAAAGAGAGUGAAAAAGUACGUGAAAUUGUUGAAAGGGAAGGGCAUUUGAUCAGACAUGGUGUUUUGCGCCCCUUGCCUCUCGUGGGCUUGGGACUCUCGCAGCUCACUGGGCCAGCAUCGGUUUUGGCGGCCGGAAAAAACCUAGGGAAUGUGGCUCUGCGCCUCGGUGUAGAGUGUUAUAGCCCUGGGGAAUACGGCCAGCCGGGACCGAGGACUGCGAUACUUGUUAUCUAGGAUGCUGGCAUAAUGGUUAUAUGCCGCCCGUCU
rnacentral:rRNA from 1 species